AAAUGCGAUAAGUAAUGUGAAUUGCAGAAUUCCGUGAAUCAUCGAAUCUUUGAACGCACAUUGCGCCCUCUGGUAUUCCGGGGGGCAUGCCUGUCCGAGCGUCAUUGCGAACCCCUCAAGCACGGCUUGUGUGAUGGGCCCUCCCGCGUCUUGGUCGUCAAGACGGGCCCGAAAUGCAGUGGCGGCUUCGCGGUUAUCCGAUCAGCCAGAUCGUAUGGGGACUUUCUCUCUGUCACACGCCCGCGGCGCGGACCGACGCCUGUCGACCUUCAUUCAUCGUUUUCUCGGUUGACCUCGGAUCAGGUAGGGAUACCCGCUGAACUUAAGC
rnacentral:misc_RNA from 1 species